AUAUGUAUGUGUAUCGAAAAAAUCUAUCCGUACUUUCAUGCGGUAUGGAUCUGUGAAUAUGCGAUUAAAAAUAUCAUGUCACUAAAGAUAAUUUAUACGAGUUAUGAGUCCGGCCGACUUAAAAAAUGUAGUUUGAGAGAAAAAACGUAGUUAAAGUAUUCGGUAUGGCCUUUAUUGGACUGAGAGCAGUAGCGCCAAAUUUAGAAAUAUAAGUCUUUCGAACUGUUUUCCACCGUAAUCUUCUGAACACGCAAUUUUAAAGUGUUAUGGCAUCUUAUAAGUAAAUCAAUUAUUAUUGUAUUAUUAUUAUUGUUUUUUUUUUUAAUUACUACAGCCCUACUUUCCUAAGGAAAAUACUUUUUGUACUAUUCAAAUAAAAUGAGGGAAGUUUUAUCAAAAAGGAAUAUAUAAGUAGCAAUAAUAAUUGUGGCAGAAACGACAAAAAUGCGUCUCAAAAUACAUACAUGCAUCCAUAAAUGGGCUCAUGCACCGUCUGCGCGAACCUCGUUAAAUUUUCUAUUCAAUUAUAGCUUUAAUGAACUGAUUGCUAAAAUGAAUCGAAAUAAACGCUAUCAAUUAGUAAUCAGCCACCCUGUGGAAUGCGAGGAAUUGCGAAAUUAUGAAAACACAAAAUGUUUUAAUGCAAUUGCAAAAGGUUUCUUAAUGUGUAUUGUUGGUGGGAUUAAAAACUUAAUCAAUGAUAAAAAAAAAGAAAAACGACGCGAAGUAGUAUAAACUUUGAUGUCACAAAAUUAUUUCAAAUUUGCUAUUAUUAAGCUUUUAACGUGGAAAAAGAAUGCUUUAAAGUACUUAUAUACAUACAUACAUACAUAGAAUACAUAUGUUAACACACAUUAGAAAUGUAAUCAACAAACAUGUAUACAAAUAUACACAUAUGUACAUAAAUAUAAUCAUUUAGCGAAAGAGUGCACGCGGUACAGACGAUUCACGAAUUACACUGCGUCUUAAAAGUUUGCAAAUACAACAUAUGUAGCAUAUUUGUUUUAUGUUGACGAGUUUGAAAAAGUUUUUCGACACAUACUGAUGUAUUUAUGUACCUACACACAUCUAACACUAAUAUUAACGAAAUGUAUUUAUUUCGCCUUUACUUUAGCCUAAGAAAAACAUUUAGAUUUAUACGCUUUGCGCAAAUCUCUCAUUCGCUCAAAUUCUGGUAUACUUAAUGCAAAAACCUAAAAUGUCAAACAUCAAAUUUAUUCAAUAUUACAAUGUAAUUGCCUGCACUGACUGUGGCAUGCAAUCAAUUUUGCAAUUACGUAUCAUGGUCGCAAGACCAACCAAACUAACGGUAUUUGUUAAAAGUUAUAAUUUCGUAAUAUUAUCUUGCAUUAAUGUUUGCAAACAUCUUAAGUUCAAAAUAAUAAUUAAUAAAAUAAAAACACAUUACAAAAAAUUGCAUCUCGACCACUUCUCGACCCUCUCAACCAAACUCUUUAUGUAUAUCACAAAAAUGUUUGACAAAAAUUUUAAGAAAUGUCAAAUUGUGCAACUGUUUUUCAUACGGUUUUUUCGCGUUUUUUUAGUAUUUUGUCGCAGUAGAGAACAACUUAGAUGGACAAAAUUUUUUAGCAGUGGUUUUCUAUAAAAGUGUUACGGUUCCAAAACGAUAAUUAGCAAGAAGAAUUACAUAUCGGAUAAAUAAUAUUAUUCUCAUAGUAAUAACUAGACAUCGGAUUCUUAUGCAAGUGCAUAUUUUUGUUUAACAUCACAUGAAGUUCGCAUCUAGGUAGAAACUCAUCAUAAUGAAAUAUUCAAUUUAAAUAAAAUAAUAAUCCGAUAAUCCGAAAUAAAAAUCCGAUCCCUAUUACUAUCUCUAUCUUAUUACUAAUAACUAUUGCUAGCUUUGGGAAUACAAUUUUCCAAGUGUCUUAUUAGGGAUCUCUGCAAUAAGUAACGAGAAUCGGAAACCGCUGGCAAUGCGUGAGUGCUUUUUGGCAUAAUGCUUUCUGGGCUUUUUCGAAGGCUGCACAGCUUCUAUAUUAGAAAUUUUGAUAUCUUGUUGAAUUAUGUUCAAUUUUUUCGAAACCUAAAAUAAUGUUUUUAAUAAACCCUCAAACCGCUUGAAAAGUGUAAGUGCGUUCUCUGGAGUGAGCAAUAAUUUCAAGGUUGCCAAAAAUUUAGCGGCAGUGUUUCCGUUGCUCUCUUGCUGAUCUUUUUUAUAUCCAAGCAUAUACGGAAUAGGAAAAAAACAUUCGAGGAACCAAAAACUUAAAACCUACAAAUUGUUAACUACAAUUCUGUUAAUUACCAUUUUUUAAAAAUAAACUUAUGAGUAGAUAUAUUUUGUCCAUAGAUCUUGUUCUAGAUGAAAUACUAUGAGGCAAGCGAUGUUUUUUUACUUAAAAUUUAUGAUAAACCGUGUAAAUACAAAUUUUUUUAAGAGUUAUGCUUAUUGACAUGAAUAUUUUGAAAAAUUAUUAUAUCCAAAACCUCGUUACGAUGUGUGAAUCUGUAGAUUUUUUAAUAUCUGUAAAAUGUACGAUCUAUGUAUGUCGUCCAUUUCAAAUAUCAAAUAUGACUAUCGGACUUGCCACACUUGCGCGCACUUACAUAUGUAAAUUUUUACGAAUAUGUAUAUGUACACACUGACAUACAUAUGUACACCACAGGUGUAUUUUUCGUAAAUUUAUGCCGGGAAUAGAAAUAAUCUUAAAUUAAUUAAUCAUUUACGUAUACAAUAAAUAUUAUAUUUACACAUUCAUUCAAAUAUAUGUACAUACAUACAUGCAUACAGACGCAAAUAAGUAACAUAUUCGGAAACUUAUGCUUAUUCAAGAAGAGUAAACGUACGAGUAUAUGUAUGUGCAUGUAUGUUAAUACGUCUACGGAAAUCUGUGAGUACUAUUAUAGUAUACUAUGUUUUCCACACUCACACAUACAUAUGUAAUGGAUACAAUUAUGAUUAAUCAUAAAAAAUAACAAUUUUAAAAGAAGAAAAGUACACAAAAACCAAUAAUUGUAAUUGAUAUAAAUGUAUGUACUUAGUUUUAAAAGUAAAAUAACAGACACAUUUUUAGGUAUGUUGGCAUUUUCACACACACAAAAAGACAUGAUUUCACACAUCCACAUACAUACAUAUUUGAUGUAUGAGUUGUGUGCUCGAACGAAAUAUGGGAAUUCAGUAACUUUGGUGAUCUUUUAAGCGUCAAAACACGACAUAAUCUUAAAAAUAAAAUACAAACUUCUUUAUAACUGUAAUUUUUAACGACUAAGUAACCAACACCACCACCACAAAUAGAUUGUUAAAAGCAAAAUAAAUAAUCAAAAAUACUUCAUAAAAUGCUUUGUCUAAUUAAAUUAUUGUAUUAAUGGAGGAGGGAUUUUUAAGCAGGUUCACAUGUAUCAAUUAUGAAACAGGAAUCAAAAUCAAUAAUAAUAAAAUAAAUGUGAGAUAUUGUCUGAUAUUUGCAA